rnacentral:rRNA from 1 species
CCUACGGGAGGCAGCAGUGGGGAAUAUUGCGCAAUGGGCGAAAGCCUGACGCAGCAACGCCGCGUGGGGGAUGAAGGUUUUCGGAUUGUAAACCCCUUUCGAUCGGAACGAAUCUCCUUCUGGUAAAUAAUCAGGAGGAUUGACGGUACCGGGAGAAGAAGCCACGGCUAACUCUGUGCCAGCAGCCGCGGUAAGACAGAGGUGGCAAGCGUUGUUCGGAUUUAUUGGGCGUAAAGCGAACGCAGGCGGUUUGGUAAGUCAGGGGUGAAAGACCACAGCUUAACUGUGGUAUUGCCUUUGAUACUGCCUUUCUUGAGUGGAGUAGGGGGAAGCGGAAUUCCGAGUGUAGAGGUGAAAUUCGUAGAUAUUCGGAGGAACACCGGUGGCGAAGGCGGCUUCCUGGACUCUAACUGACGCUCAUGUUCGAAAGCGUGGGUAGCAAACAGGAUUAGAUACCCUGGUAGUCCACGCCCUAAACGAUGGGCACUAGGUGUGGGAGGUAUCGACCCCUUCCGUGCCGCAGCUAACGCAUUAAGUGCCCCGCCUGGGGAGUACGGCCGCAAGGUUGAAACUCAAAGGAAUUGACGGGGAAGGGCGAAUUCCACACU